UAACCUUGAGCACCCACUGUUGAAGAUUC
rnacentral:sRNA from 1 species